AGAACGAACGCUGGCGGCAUGCCUAACACAUGCAAGUCGAACGAGACCUUCGGGUCUAGUGGCGCACGGGUGCGUAACGCGUGGGAAUCUGCCCUUAGGUACGGGAUAACCCAGGGAAACUUGGGCUAAUACCGUAUGAUGACGUAAGUCCAAAGAUUUAUCGCCUAAGGGAUGAGCCCGCGUAGGAUUAGCUUGUUGGUGAGGUAAAAGGCUCACCAAAGGCGACGAUCCUAGACGUGUCGUCGAGGAGGAGUAGAGUACACGACCGACCAACCUAGGGUUACGGUACAGGAACGAACCGGACCCGACCGAAACUCCCUAACGGGGAGGCCAGGCCAGUGGGGGAAAUAUUGGACAAUGGGCGAAAGCCUGAUCCAGCCAAUGCCGCGUGAGUGAUGAAGGCCCUAGGUUGUAAAAGCUCGUUUUUACCGGAAG
rnacentral:rRNA from 1 species